UAGUCGUUGUGUAUUAUUUUCUGUUUAAUUACAUGAAUACAUCAUUUUGUUUGUCAUUGUCAGAGCUUGUCAUCACACAUGGGAAUUUUUCAUAUUUAUUUCUACCCUGAGUUUUUUUUUUUUUUUAAAUCUGUAAUAAUGCAUGAAAUAUGCAUGCAAUGUUAAAAAAUGCAUUUUUGUUAAAAAGUGAAAAUGCUACCCGUAUUCACAGGAGCACACGGUCCGAUUUCUUUUUAAGACAGACAGGAACAUGGGCAGGAUGUUUAUACUGUCAAAUGUAAACAUUUUCUCUGGCCUUCUUUAAAUAAAAAAUCAAGCAAAAAGCCCCACAAGAGCUGCUAAUACCCAUUCUGAGGCUAUGCGUCCGUUUUAUGCGGCGCAAACUAUUAGUGAAUCUUAGUUUUAACAUAAAUGUAGAGAUGAAGCCGUACACAGUUCUGACUGAAGGACUUUUUUAAAAAGCUGGGACUCAGAUCUGCACUUGCUUCCAGAAACUUUGCUAUAUGAAGACGGCUAAUCGGUCUAAUGAUCUCUUGCUGCUUCUCAGACCUGAUCCUGAUCCAGAGAUGGAAGGAAGUGCAGGUAUGUGAAGUACCAGCACCAGGUUACAGCAUCAGGUCACGCUUCGGACCAUUGACCCUUGAUCCCAGCGUCUGUUUAUAUCUUGUGAUUGAUUGGAUAAAUAGUGAUGAGUCAUAUCCCCAAGUGUGUUUAUAUUACAGAGUCACGCAAGGAAGGAAAAGAGCUAUGACCUGCUAAAAGCCAGUGGGAGAGAGAAGGAGGGUGAGGUUAUUAAAUGCUACCUGUUAAUGUCAGUGUUAAUGUUUUUACACCAUUUACAUAAUGAUAAAUAUGUUAUUGCAUUAGAAGGAAAUAUGUAACCAAAAUUGUUCCGAUGUUGAUUUCUCCAAAUAAAUCUCCUUUGCAUAUC